CCUACGGGUGGCUGCAGUGGGGGAUAUUGCACAAUGGGGGGAACCCUGAUGCAGCGACGCCGCGUGGGUGAAGGAGCGUUUCGGCGCGUAAAGCCCUAUCGGCAGGGAAGAAGAUGACGGUACCUGACCAAGAAGCCCCGGCUAACUACGUGCCAGCAGCCGCGGUAAUACGUAGGGGGCAAGCGUUAUCCGGAAGCACUGGGUGUAAAGGGAGCGUAGACGGCUGAGCAAGCCUGAAGGGAAAGGCGGGGGACCAACCCCUGGACUGCUUUGGGAACUGUACGGCUGGAGUGCAGGAGAGGUAAGUGGAAUUCGUGGUGUAGCGGUGAAAUGCGUAGAUAUUAGGAGGAACACCAGUGGCGAAGGCGGCUUACUGGACUGUAACUGACGUUGAGGCUCGAAAGCGUGGGGAGCAAACAGGAUUAGAUACCCGUGUAGUC
rnacentral:rRNA from 1 species